rnacentral:rRNA from 1 species
UACGUAGGGUCCGAGCGUUGUCCGGAAUUAUUGGGCGUAAAGGGCUCGUAGGCGGUUUGUCGCGUCGGGAGUGAAAACCUUGGGCUUAACUCAGGGCUUGCUUUCGAUACGGGCAGACUAGAGGUAUGCAGGGGGAGAACGGAAUUCCUGGUGUAGCGGUGGAAUGCGCAGAUAUCAGGAGGAACACCGGUGGCGAAGGCGGGUCUCUGGGCAGUAACUGACGCUGAGGAGCGAAAGCGUGGGGAGCGAACAGG